rnacentral:rRNA from 1 species
CAGGACGAACGCUGGCGGCGUGCCUAAUACAUGCAAGUCGAGCGGACCGACGGGAGCUUGCUCCCUUAGGUCAGCGGCGGACGGGUGAGUAACACGUGGGUAACCUGCCUGUAAGACUGGGAUAACUCCGGGAAACCGGGGCUAAUACCGGAUGCUUGAUUGAACCGCAUGGUUCAAUUAUAAAAGGUGGCUUUUAGCUACCACUUACAGAUGGACCCGCGGCGCAUUAGCUAGUUGGUGAGGUAACGGCUCACCAAGGCGACGAUGCGUAGCCGACCUGAGAGGGUGAUCGGCCACACUGGGACUGAGACACGGCCCAGACUCCUACGGGAGGCAGCAGUAGGGAAUCUUCCGCAAUGGACGAAAGUCUGACGGAGCCAACGCCGCGUGAGUGAUGAAGGUUUUCGGAUCGUAAAACUCUGUUGUUAGGGAAGAACAAGUACCGUUCGAAUAGGGCGGUACCUUGACGGUACCUAACCAGAAAGCCACGGCUAACUACGUGCCAGCCGCCGC